AAAUUGAAGAGUUUGAUCAUGGCUCAGAUUGAACGCUGGCGGCAGGCCUAACACAUGCAAGUCGAGCGGUAGCACAGAGAGCUUGCUCUCGGGUGACGAGCGGCGGACGGGUGAGUAAUGUCUGGGAAACUGCCUGAUGGAGGGGGAUAACUACUGGAAACGGUAGCUAAUACCGCAUAACGUCGCAAGACCAAAGAGGGGGACCUUCGGGCCUCUUGCCAUCAGAUGUGCCCAGAUGGGAUUAGCUAGUAGGUGGGGUAACGGCUCACCUAGGCGACGAUCCCUAGCUGGUCUGAGAGGAUGACCAGCCACACUGGAACUGAGACACGGUCCAGACUCCUACGGGAGGCAGCAGUGGGGAAUAUUGCACAAUGGGCGCAAGCCUGAUGCAGCCAUGCCGCGUGUAUGAAGAAGGCCUUCGGGUUGUAAAGUACUUUCAGCGGGGAGGAAGGUGUUGAGGUUAAUAACCUCAGCAAUUGACGUUACCCGCAGAAGAAGCACCGGCUAACUCCGUGCCAGCAGCCGCGGUAAUACGGAGGGUGCAAGCGUUAAUCGGAAUUACUGGGCGUAAAGCGCACGCAGGCGGUCUGUCAAGUCGGAUGUGAAAUCCCCGGGCUCAACCUGGGAACUGCAUUCGAAACUGGCAGGCUAGAGUCUUGUAGAGGGGGGUAGAAUUCCAGGUGUAGCGGUGAAAUGCGUAGAGAUCUGGAGGAAUACCGGUGGCGAAGGCGGCCCCCUGGACAAAGACUGACGCUCAGGUGCGAAAGCGUGGGGAGCAAACAGGAUUAGAUACCCUGGUAGUCCACGCCGUAAACGAUGUCGACUUGGAGGUUGUGCCCUUGAGGCGUGGCUUCCGGAGCUAACGCGUUAAGUCGACCGCCUGGGGAGUACGGCCGCAAGGUUAAAACUCAAAUGAAUUGACGGGGGCCCGCACAAGCGGUGGAGCAUGUGGUUUAAUUCGAUGCAACGCGAAGAACCUUACCUACUCUUGACAUCCAGAGAACUUAGCAGAGAUGCUUUGGUGCCUUCGGGAACUCUGAGACAGGUGCUGCAUGGCUGUCGUCAGCUCGUGUUGUGAAAUGUUGGGUUAAGUCCCGCAACGAGCGCAACCCUUAUCCUUUGUUGCCAGCGGUCCGGCCGGGAACUCAAAGGAGACUGCCAGUGAUAAACUGGAGGAAGGUGGGGAUGACGUCAAGUCAUCAUGGCCCUUACGAGUAGGGCUACACACGUGCUACAAUGGCGCAUACAAAGAGAAGCGACCUCGCGAGAGCAAGCGGACCUCAUAAAGUGCGUCGUAGUCCGGAUUGGAGUCUGCAACUCGACUCCAUGAAGUCGGAAUCGCUAGUAAUCGUAGAUCAGAAUGCUACGGUGAAUACGUUCCCGGGCCUUGUACACACCGCCCGUCACACCAUGGGAGUGGGUUGCAAAAGAAGUAGGUAGCUUAACCUUCGGGAGGGCGCUUACCACUUUGUGAUUCAUGACUGGGGUGAAGUCGUAACAAGGUAACCGUAGGGGAACCUGCGGUUGGAUCACCUCCUUA
rnacentral:rRNA from 1 species